ACUAAACAGGAUUCUCUUAGUAACUGCGAGUGAACAGAGAUUAGCCCAACAUCGAAGCCUCCACGCAUUUGUGUGGACGGCAAUGUGAUGUAAUGGUGUUCGACUUCGUACACUGACUAACUUGAAGUCCAUAUUUGACUGUGGCUUGUGCGUAUGCACCCAGAGAUGGUGAAAGGCCCGUUCAGGUUGGUAUUCAGAUAUGACAGUGUGCGUAGAUUCGUUCGCCAAUGAGUCGGAUUGCUUGAGAGUGCAGUCCAAAUGUGGUGGUAAACUCCAUCAAAGGCUAAAUACCUGUACGAGUCCGAUAGUCAACAAGUACCGUGAGGGAAAGUUGAAAAGUACUCUGAAGAGAGAGUAAAUAGUACGUGAAACUACAUGGAGGUUAAACAGAUGGAGUCAAGCUGCGU
rnacentral:rRNA from 1 species